rnacentral:rRNA from 1 species
UACGAGGGGGGCGAGCGUUGUUCGGAAUUAUUGGGCGUAAAGGGCGCGUAGGCGGUGCGGUAAGUCACCUGUGAAAUCUCUGGGCUUAACUCAGAGCCUGCAGGCGAAACUGCCGUGCUGGAGUGUGGGAGAGGUGCGUGGAAUUCCCGGUGUAGCGGUGAAAUGCGUAGAUAUCGUAAGGAAGACCAGUGGCGAAGGCGGGUCUCUGGACAGUUCCUGACGCUGAGGCACGAAGGUCAGGGGAGCAAACGGG